AGCGAACGCUGGCGGCAGGCUUAACACAUGCAAGUCGAGCGGGCCCUUCGGGGUCAGCGGCAGACGGGUGAGUAACACGUGGGAACGUACCCUUUGGUUCGGAAUAACGCUGGGAAACUAGCGCUAAUACCGGAUACGCCCUUUUGGGGAAAGGCUUGCUGCCGAAGGAUCGGCCCGCGUCUGAUUAGCUAGUUGGUGGGGUAAUGGCCUACCAAGGCGACGAUCAGUAGCUGGUCUGAGAGGAUGAUCAGCCACACUGGGACUGAGACACGGCCCAGACUCCUACGGGAGGGGGCAGUGGGGAAUAUUGGAAAACGGGCGCAAGCCUGAACCAGCCAUGCCGGGUGAGUGAUGAAGGCGUUAGGGUUGUAAAGCUCUUUUGUCCGGGACGGUAAUGACGGUACCGGAAGAAUAAGCACCGGCUAACUUCGUG
rnacentral:rRNA from 1 species